CCUACGGGAGGCAGCAGUAGGGAAUAUUGCUCAAUGGGGGAAACCCUGAAGCAGCAACGCCGCGUGGAGGAUGAAGGUUUUCGGAUUGUAAACUCCUUUUGUUAGAGAAGAUAAUGACGGUAUCUAACGAAUAAGCACCGGCUAACUCCGUGACAGCAGCCGCGGUAAUACGGAGGGUGCAAGCGUUACUCGGAGUCACUGGGCGUAAAGAGCGCGUAGGCGGGAUAGCAAGUCAGAUGUGAAAUCCUAUGGCUUAACCAUAGAACUGCAUUUGAAACUGUUAUUCUAGAGUAUAGGAGAGGUAGGUGGAAUUCUUGGUGUAGCGGUGAAAUGCGUAGAGAUCAAGAGGAAUACUCAUUGCGAAGGCGGCCUGCUAGACCAUAACUGACGCUGAUGCGCGAAAGCGUGGGGAGCAAACAGGAUUAGAUACCCUUGUAGUC
rnacentral:rRNA from 1 species